CGACGUAGGUAACCUGCCUGGUAGCGGGGGAUAACUAUUGAAACGAUAGCUAAUACCGCAUAAGAGUAGAUGUUGCAUGACAUUUACUUAAAAGGUGCAAUUGCAUCACUACCAGAUGGACCUGCGUUGUAUUAGCUAGUUGGUGGGGUAACGGCUCACCAAGGCGACGAUACAUAGCCGACCUGAGAGGGUGAUCGGCCACACUGGGACUGAGACACGGCCCAG
rnacentral:rRNA from 1 species